UUUCCGUAGGUGAACCUGCGGAAGGAUCAUUAUUGUAUAACCGAGGUGCGAGGGCUGUCGCUGACCCGAAAGGUCGUGCACGCCCGAGUGCCCUCACACACAUCCAUCUCACCCCUAUGUGCACCACCGCGUGGGUCCCCCUUUGGCUUGUUCGGAGGGGGGCUUACGUUUUCACACAAACUUUGUAUGCAGUGUAGAGUGUAUUUUUUGUUUUUGCGAUCACGCAAUCAAUACAACUUUCAACAACGGAUCUCUUGGCUCUUACAUCGAUGAAGAACGCAGC
rnacentral:misc_RNA from 1 species